GAUGAACGCUAGCGGGAGGCCUAACACAUGCAAGCCGAGCGGUAGAGUUUCUUCGGUACCUUGAGAGCGGCGCACGGGUGCGUAACACGUGUGCAACCUACCUUUAUCUGGGGGAUAGCCUUUCGAAAGGAAGAUCAAUACCCCAUAAUAUAAUGAUUGGCAUCAAUUAUUAUUGAAAACUCCGGUGGAUAGAGAUGGGGACGCGCAAGAUUAGAUAGUUGGUGAGGUAACGGCUCACCAAGUCAAUGAUCUUUAGGGGUCCUGAGAGGGAGACCCCCUAGACUGGUGCCGCGACACAGACCACUAUCCUACGCGACGCUGCAGUGUGGAAUACAGGGCGAGGGAUGAGAACCUGGUCCAGCCGCCCCGCUUGAAAGAUGACGCUCCUAUGAAUAGUAAACUACUUUUGAAGAAGGAUAAACCUACCAUCGGGAGGGUAGCUGACGGUACUGAACGAAUAAGCACCGGCUAACUCCGUG
rnacentral:rRNA from 1 species